UACGAAGGGGGCUAGCGUUGCUCGGAAUGACUGGGCGUAAAGGGCGCGUAGGCGGUUUGUACAGUCAGGUGUGAAAUUCCCGGGCUCAACCUGGGGGCGGCACUUGAGACGUAGGAACUGGAGUGAGGAAGAGGGUCGUGGAAUUCCCAGUGUAGAGGUGAAAUUCGUAGAUAUUGGGAAGAACACCGGUGGCGAAGGCGGCGACCUGGUCCUUUUACUGACGCUGAGGCGCGAAAGCUAGGGGAGCAAACAGG
rnacentral:rRNA from 1 species